GCAUGUGAAGUAAGCAUUUGAAGGAAACAUGCGAUCUGUAUCGCAUGGUCAGAAGAAAAAAUUGAAUAGAUUAGAAUUAAAAAUAUUUCAUAACUCUUAUGAAAAUUAUCUCGAUGCACAGCAGAAAGAUGAUCGAGGUUAAUUGACUCCUAAAGAUCGUUGCUUCACGAGAUUUGGAUAUCCAGACCCUCUACUUCGCUCGCAUGCCAAGCAACGUAAGAGAGAGAGAUGAAGAUUUUCUUUAGAAG
rnacentral:lncRNA from 1 species